ACAGGGUCACAGGGGAGGGGCCGGAGGGGAAGGACGUGCCCUACCCCCAGCUCCUGCUGGACCAGGAGAUCAGAGCAGAAGUGGCGGCUGUGCGGCGCUGAGCGGUUUCUGUGCCUCUGCCCCCGCUCUGUGUGUGUGUGUGUGUGUGUGUGUGUGUGUGUGUGUGUGCGCGCGCGUGUGCGCGCGCGUGCGCGUGUGCGCGCGCGUGCGCGUGUGCGCGCGCGUGCGCGCAUGCAGGCGUUAGUGAGCAGUUUGCAGGCAGCCUCACACCACCAGCUCAGUGGCUGCUUCCCGCCCUCCCUCCUUUCUGCUCCUUUCCUUGGGUCCCUCCCUCCUGCUUUGGGGACCGUGCAGUUUCUCCCCAGCACAACCUGAUAGGCUGGGACAGCUCUGUCCCCCUUGUCUCUGUCUCCCCGCCCAGCAGAGUCCCGGGCACCAGGAGUUGCUCAACUGAUGUUUGUAGAAUGAAUGCAUGAGUGUCACUGCAGGCCAAGCAUUUCCUCUCCCUCAACCUCAGGUUCCUCAUCACAGAGGAGGCUCCCCUGGCUUCAGGGCACAGGUUUCCUGCCCCGCAAUGCCCUCUGUCUAGGGCUGUGCCCUCUCCAUCCUGCCCAGCCUGGAGCCAAGGGUGUGCUGCUGCCCCCCAGCUUUCUCAUCCCCUGCAGGGGGGUCUUCGAGGGUUCUCGCUGAGAGUGGGAGUCGCACAGAGCCAGACGUGGUCAAAGGGGCUGGGCUUGCUCCUCGGUGGUCCUCAGGGAGACCUCUGGCCCCUUGUCCACCUCCCCACUGCGGCCUCCUCUGCCCAGGAAGGGAAGGCUGUCUGGAGCGAGGUUCUCCCGGAAAGAUGCGAUUCCAGCCCUGUCCUCAGGGGGGGGGGGGGGGCUGGGCCGUGGCCUGCAGGGGGAGCCCCGGAAACCCUGUGAGGCUGGUGUGCAGCAGGGAUUAGGAGGACAGGAGAGAAAGCGGUGUGUGGGUGUGUGCGUGUGUGUGGGUGUACAUGCGUGUGUGUGUGUGUGUGUGUGUGUGCGCGCGUGCAUGUGCAGCUGGAGGGAGAGGAGCCCUCAAAGGCAGGAGGGGAGGGAAGGCACGGAAACCUCGGCGCUGCUGCAGCCAUCAGAGGAGACCCAAGGGGCGGCAAGGGCCGCAGAGGAGGCUGGAGGGGAGGCUGUGGGGACAGAGAUGGAGGAACUAGGCGCACCUGGGGCAGAGCUUGCCCUGCCUGGACACAGCCACCGCCUGGUUGCUGCCCUCGGUGCACCCUUGGCCUCAAAGACCUCAGGCUGCCACUGCUGUGGUGUGGCCUGUUAUCCCAGCCCUCGGGAGGCUGAGGCAAGAGGAUCUCGUCAGAUUCGAGGCCAGCGUGGGCUCCACAGUGAACCCUGUCUGAAAAACGCAGGAACAAAAUGCCUCGGUGUCCAUGAAGAGGAGGGAUGGAGACAGACACAUGUGCCUGGGUGUCUAGGGUCCUGUGCUAAAGGCCAGAGCCACGUGCAGGGGCCCAGAGUCCUAGCCGCUCCACAGGCUGACUCUCAGGUGUUCAAGCCAGCCUGGGCAACAUGGGGACAGCUUUUGGAGACCUUGAACGCCGCGCCUGAGGCCCUUUUGGAGACCCUUUUGAAGACCCUUGAAUGCCGAGGCUGAGCUCUGCAGGGCUCCUGUGCAGCGCACGCCCCGCCCACCGCCCGGCGCCGCCGCCUCCUCCGUUCGCUCCGCUGGGUUCCUCUCCGUGGCCUCUGUCGUCGUCGGCUCAUCGUUGACAUCCUGUGCUGUGCAUGCAUGAAAAAGCGCGUGGCCACGCAUGGGACCAGCCUGAAGCGCUGUCUCACUGCCUCCGAGCGACACCUCUGUGGUGGGCCUGGGACCAAGCCAGGCCCCCUUGGAGAGAAGGGAAACUGAGGCACACUGGAAAGUGGUGCAGUUUGGAUUGGAACUCGGAGUCCUGGCCCUAUCUGGUCCUCGCGUCCCCAAGUCAGAGGUGGCCUGCGCAUCCAGAAAAACUCAUAGGUGAAGCUGGAAGUGAUGGCGCACAUCUGUAAUCCCAGCAUCCAGGAGGCUGAGGCAGAAAAAUCACCUCGAGUUGGGGGCCAGCCUGAGCCAUGUAGGAGACUUUGUCUCAAAAAGCAAAACAAUAAAACGGGCGGGGCCAGGUCCGUGCGGCUCCCGCCCACGGGUCCCUGGGCCUCCCCAGUGCCCUAGAA